rnacentral:rRNA from 1 species
UGAGGAAUAUUGGUCAAUGGGCGGAAGCCUGAACCAGCCAAGUCGCGUGAGGGAAGACGGUCCUAUGGAUUGUAAACCUCUUUUGCAGGGGAGCAAGGCGCCUUACGUGUAAGGCGUUGGAGAGUACCCUGAGAAAAAGCAUCGCAUAAAUCCGUGCCAGCAGCCGCGGUAAUACGGAGGAUGCGAGCGUUAUCCGGAUUUAUUGGGUUUAAAGGGUGCGUAGGCGGGCUGGUAAGUCAGCGGUAAAAAUGCGGUGCUCAACGCCGUAGUGCCGUUGAAACUGCCGGUCUUGAGUGAGCGAGAAGUAUGCGGAAUGCGUGGUGUAGCGGUGAAAUGCAUAGAUAUCACGCAGAACUCCGAUUGCGAAGGCAGCAUCCCGGCGCUCAACUGACGCUGAGGCACGAAAGCGUGGGGAUCGAACAGG